CAACCUGCCCACCACUUGGGGAUAACCUUGCGAAAGUAAGACUAAUACCCAAUGAUAUCUCUANNAGACAUCUGAAAGAGAUUAAAGAUUUAUCGGUGAUGGAUGGGGAUGCGUCUGAUUAGCUUGUUGGCGGGGUAACGGCCCACCAAGGCGACGAUCAGUAGGGGUUCUGAGAGGAAGGUCCCCCACAUUGGAACUGAGACACGGUCCAAACUCCUACGGGAGGCAGCAGUGAGGAAUAUUGGUCAAUGGACGAGAGUCUGAACCAGCCAAGUAGCGUGCAGGAUGACGGCCCUAUGGGUUGUAAACUGCUUUUAUAAGGGAAUAAAGUGAGUCUCGUGAGACUUUUUGCAUGUACCUUAUGAAUAAGGACCGGCUAAUUCCGUGCCAGCAGCCGCGGUAAUACGGAAGGUCCGGGCGUUAUCCGGAUUUAUUGGGUUUAAAGGAAGCGUAGGCCGGAGAUUAAGCGUGUUGUGAAAUGUAGAUGCUCAACAUCUGCACUGCAGCGCGAACUGGUUUCCUUGAGUACGCACUAAGUGGGCGGAAUUCGUGGUGUAGCGGUGAAAUGCUUAGAUAUCACGAAGAACUCCGAUUG
rnacentral:rRNA from 1 species